GCUGGAUGGGUGGUGGUAGAGACGGACCUCGUGUUGGCACACCACGGCAAAAGCUUAAGUGUAGCUGAAUUCUAAAGGUUGAAGUCUAAAAUUUUUAACGUAAAAAGUAGACUUCAGUUUAAAAAUAUUCGAAAGAGCGUUUGCAGGAAAAGAAUAACCAAUGAGCAUUAACAUGAACUGCAUUAGUUAUUAGUUAGUUAUCAGUUUCAUUAGUUUUUAGUUUUAUUAGAUGUUAGUUAGGGAAUAGUUUUAUUAGUUAUUAGCUAGUUAUUAGUUUUAUUAGUUAGAGAUUAGUUUUAUUAGUUAUUAGCUAGUUAUUUGUUUUAUUAAUUGUAUAGUGAGAUUAGUUUUAUUAAUUAUUAGAUAGUGAUUAGGUUUAUUAGUUAUUAGCUAGUUAUUAGUUAUUAGUUAUAACUGGUAAUUACUUUGUUUUACUUCUAAUGGAUGACCAGGCCGUAGGAAGAGGAUCUAAAAAUUGGCACCGUUGCCUGUAAAUCACCGACUUUUGUGUAAUUUCAUUUGUUAAUUUGAUGCAGUACAAAAAUGUAAUGAAUUAGUGAUAAAACUUAACCAAAGAGUUAUAUGAUAUACUUGAUUUUUUUACAUGUACACUAAAAUCUGUUAAUCCCUAUUUUAUUAUGGUUUUCAACAUAAAUAAUAAAUUCCCCUGACGAUUCGAUCACUAGCUAGAUAUGUACAUACAUACUUUUAUUUUCACUGCAGUUCAUUCAAUAAAAUCAAAUUACAAUAUCAUUUAGAUUAUUAACCAGUUUAACAAGACAUGAACAUUUUAAUCUACACAAAUUAAAUUAUAUAAACACACCUUAUGAUAUUUUAGCAUAUGCAUACCAUUUGUAUCAUCUUCUUACUGGAAUUACAACCUCGAGGGUUUGACAUACCAUCUAGCCUUGCUUGAUUUUUGUUCUGUAUUAUUAGUUCAGCGUAUGUAAUUUCAUUCCAUCCAUGACUCCGAAGAGAUUGGUACCAGCCUUGCUGUGUGAGCAAUCCUGUUACUGUUGCACCAACUACGUAACCUAAGUUUAUCAUAUUUUUUAGCAUGACCAAACUGUACUUCGACGAUGUUGGGCAGCGAUUCAUUUCAUAAUUCAUUUAAACAUUGUAGCAUAUGUAAAUUUUACGCUAAUCAUAAUGUACGAGGGUACUGAUCUUCCGGGUCGUUUUCGUACCAGUCCUGUUGUAUGAAGACGGGCGCCACUACCAUCUAUACCAGAUCACCUAGCUGCUCGAUUCUUGUGUUAAAUUUUUAUCUGUAUUUUAAGAUAGUAAAAAAAAUUAAAGCAUCAACAUUUGUGCCGAUCAUCUGCUCGUGUCUUGUGACUAUCUACUUUUCAUACUUUCCAUAGCAAUUUACCAUAAUCCCGUAUAGGGGACACGGACCAGUCGAUUUAUGAUUAUAGACCGUGCUGUGCUAAAUAUUUACACUUUACAAAACACAAACGCACUUUUCACACAAUAUUUCACUUCACUUGACUUACUUAACUUGACACAUAUACAAUAUAUAAAAGAUCGUUUAAUUAUAAUAACUUACCAAUCUGCGGAAGAGGCACCAGAUUAAAUAUUCCACUACUUCCUACACGGCGGUGCCGGUCUUGUGCCUCCUCGUAAGCACGGUUCAGCUCCUGCAAUUCUUGGCGAUAUUUCGUGUAGAAAUGGCCAUUCAUUUUCAGCAAUUUCGGCUUUUGCGGAUUCAUUAUAUCACUAUACAUAUUUCAGUUAACGAAACAGUUGCUACAUAUUUAUAUUCACUAAACCAUUAGUUCUUAAAAGUAACUAAAACGUACCGACGCGUGCGAAUCGGAUUUGUAAGUGAUUUUUUUUUUGCACUUAGUCUUCUUGGAGUUCAUCAGUUUCGUUUUCACACCACACACACACAUUUCUAAGUCUGUUUUGGUUCGGUAUUCCGAUUGCUUCUUUUCUGUACUAGAAAAGAAGAUCAAAACGUGAAGAAACCACAUCACGGAGCGUGUUCAAUCUAAAACAACACCAACACAAUAACAACCGCCGUGUAGCAACAGCAAAACCGAGUCAAAACAGCGAGACAAAAUGAUAACAAAGCGAGAGGUCAAUAUAAAGACUUCCGAAAAAGUCAUGUGGGUACGAAAUCUCAUUCCUCUACAGACUUUGAUCGUGUGAGUUUUUGCAUGGUUUUUUCUGUUUGACUAACGCAUUAUUUUCACAGGGCGAUCUUUCUGAAACUGUCAUCAAAACGUCAUACGGAAUCAUAAUAAGCGUGUAAACCGCGGUAAAUGUUAUUUACCGGCUAUAAUUUAUCUGGAAAUCCACAGUAAAUUUAGGAUAAACAAAACGUUGCCAGAUUUACGAACAUCUAAAGAGAACGAAUUUAACAGAAUUAAACUUUCUACUAAAAGAUUUUUUGUUAACUUUCGCCGAACCAUGUUCCAUGUAAAUACCGAACGAGAAAUGCCUGACUUCCACGGUGUUCGGUAUCAGAUUAUGGGUGGUGAUUUUGCCUUUAUAAUCGCACUAGAGGAUCCUGCCGGAAUGGCAUUAUACGAUCAUAUUAGCAGCAGAUACUGUCAAAGUCUAGGCAAAAAGCAAAUCGAAAAAUGCCGAUGUAAAUUGAUAUUGUUUGGCUUCAAUUUGAAAACAAAAUGUGCAGAAAAGUGAUUAGCUGUGGCAGUCACAGUCACAAGCAUAAAGAUGACUGCAAAUACGAUUUGUUCCUAAAGCGUCCACACAUAGCGUCACAUCAUACAUGUGAAUGGUGAUUUUGCCUUUGUGAUCGCACUGGAGGAUCCUGCUGGAAUCGCAUCGGAGGAUCAGAUCAGCUACGGUUACUGUCAGAGUUCGGCCAAAAAUCGAAUCCAAUAAUGAUGAUGUAAAUCUUUGUUGUUUGGCUUCAAAUUAAAAACAAAUUAUGCUGAAAACCGAACCGAAUACAGCGCCCACACAUAGCGUCACUUCAUUAUCGUUACAUGUAAGUACCGGAGGAGAAAUGUUUGCCCUUCAUUGUGUUUGAUAUCAGAUUAGGGUUUGCAAUAAUCUUUUG